rnacentral:tRNA from 1 species
GCCGCGGUGGCGAAAUGGCAGACGCACUAGCUUCAGGUGCUAGCGACCGCAAGGUCAUGAGGGUUCAAGUCCCUCCCGCGGCACCA